rnacentral:rRNA from 1 species
UGAGUAACGCGUGGGUAACCUACCCCAAAGUCCGGGAUAACAGCGGGAAACCGCUGCUAAUACCGGAUGUCUUUACCUUGGGGCAUCUUGAGGUAAAGAAAGGUAACGCUUUGGGAUGGGCCCGCGUCCCAUUAGCUAGUUGGUGAGGUAACGGCUCACCAAGGCGACGAUGGGUAGCCGGCCUGAGAGGGUGGACGGCCACACUGGGACUGAGACACGGCCCAGACUCCUACGGGAGGCAGCAGUAGGGAAUAUUGCGCAAUGGACGGAAGUCUGACGCAGCGACGCCGCGUGAGCGAUGAAGGUCUUCGGAUCGUAAAGCUCUGUCCUUGGGGAAGAAGGCGAAAGCUUGACGGUACCCAAGAAGAAAGCCCCGGCUAACUACGUGCCAGCAGCCGCGGUAAUACGUAGGGGGCGAGCGUUGUCCGGAAUUACUGGGCGUAAAGGGUGCGUAGGCGGCCCUUUAAGUCGGAUGUGAA